AACGAACGCUGGCGGCAGGCUUAACACAUGCAAGUCGAGCGAAGACUUCGGUCUUAGCGGCGGACGGGUGAGUAACACGUGGGAACGUACCCUUUGGUUCGGAACAACCCAGGGAAACUUGGGCUAAUACCGAAUAAGCCCUUACGGGGAAAGAUUUAUCGCCGAAGGAUCGGCCCGCGUCUGAUUAGCUAGUUGGUGAGGUAACGGCUCACCAAGGCGACGAUCAGUAGCUGGUCUGAGAGGAUGAUCAGCCUCACUGGGACUGAGACACGGCCCAGACUCCUACGGGAGGCAGCAGUGGGGAAUAUUGGACAAUGGGCGCAAGCCUGAUCCAGCCAUGCCGCGUGGGUGAUGAAGGCCCUAGGGUUGUAAAGCCCUUUCGGCGGGGAAGAUAAUGACGGUACCCGCAGAAGAAGCCCCGGCUAACUUCGUGCCAGCAGCCGCAGUAAUAC
rnacentral:rRNA from 1 species